rnacentral:lncRNA from 1 species
UGGAUUGUUCUACACCGGUAGUGUAACGAUUCGAUCCGCUAGCAAUAAUAAUUCGUUGGGUCCAAAUCACCAACCUAAAAUGCAUAAGUCCAAUUAUUAUUACUAGAAUGUGAGACCUCAUAUAUAGGCCUCAUAUAUUUCAAAUAAGAACUCCUUUUCCAUCUGAUGUGGAACUAUUUGGGUGUUACAGACUCCUCCUAUUUAGACCCUGACAUUUUCGUCGGAUCCAAAUAGGAUCAUAGAUAUAUAGACCAGAAUUACCAGGCAGUGUGAGAUUCUAAAGAUAGCUCCUAUAGGUUCAAGAGGUAGCUCCAACCAAAUCCAUAAUGUAGCAUUUUGUCCUGCAUAACACUUAGCUUACACAUUUUUGGCUGGUAUUUUAUCCUAAUUACAAUUGUAACGACCCUAUCCAUUAACAAUAAUAACUCGUUGGGCCCAAGCCAUUGACCCAAAAUACUUAAACGCAGUUAUUAUUGUUGGCUUAACUGGGCAAGCAUCUUGCCCUGUGACGGAAGGCCACGUGGACCGAAUCAUGUUCAAAAUGGCGUGAGGCUAGGUUGGGCCGAGUCAUGUUCGAAGUGGCGUGAGGCUGGGUGGGCUGAGUCACAAUUGAGAUCCAUGGGCAUUGUAUCUGUACGCUUUAAGUGAAUUGGUUGCGUAUUUCAAACAAGUCGAGCUUUUGAGAUUAAUGGUUAGCGCCAACGAUCCGACAAGUGGUAUUAGAGCCAGAGGUUACGGGUUCGAUUCCCGCAUGCUGCAAUUGUGUGCCGCUUCUGGAGGGGGGAUUGUUGACUUAAAUGGGCCAACAUCCUGCCCUGUGGCGGGAGGCCAUGUGAGUCGAGUCAUUUUCGAAAUGGCGUGAGGCUGAGUUGGACCGAGUCAUGUUCGAAGUGGUGUGAGGCUAGGUGGGCCGAGUCACAAUUGAGACCCGUGGGCUCUGUAUUUCUACGCUUUAAGUUAAUUGGUUACGUAUUUUUAACAGCUCGAGCUUUUGGGAUUAAUGAUUAGUGCCAACGAUCCGACAAUUAUUACUAGAGUCUAAGACCUCAUAUAUUUUAAAUCAGAGCCUCUUUUCCAUCCAAUAUAGAAUUAUUGGAGCAUUACAGGU